rfam:Triticum aestivum genome assembly, contig: Triticum_aestivum_CS42_TGACv1_scaffold_483273_6AL
CAAGUACCCCCUCCGUCCGGAAUUACUUGUCAUCAAAAUGGAUGUGUCUAGAACUAAAAUACAUCUAGAUACAUCCAUUUCAAUGACAAGUAUUUUCGGACGGAGGGAGUACAAG